CCGCCGCCCCGCUCUGCACACGUGCCUCGACCUGCGAAUGUUCAUUUACAGCGCUUUCUUUUGAUGGACGUGUUUCUCGUAAGUUGGAGAAAGGUGGGAGAUUAGGUUGACUUUAACUUUUUAUUAGCUUAUAUCCAUUUUUUGAUAGUUUGGAAUUUAGUACACCUCAUUAUCAAUACUGAAUGGUUUAAAGUUCAAAAGAAUCACCCUUCUGCCUCGCAGUAGUUGGUCAUUUCAGUCCCGCGUCAGUCCUGUGGAACUCCUUGUGUGCGUAGGUAGAGCAGAAUGACGAUGUGUGGACGUCACCAACGUGGUCUAAGGAGUCUGGUCUCUGGCGUGUGGGCCCUGCUGUGGCUGCUGAAGCGGUGCAGGAUGGAAGGACAGUGUGCAGGAGUGAGGUGGCCAAGAGCGUCCCAGGCCGUUUCACACGCGGAUUUUUAAGUAACUGUGGCCUUCUGAACCAAUUAAACUGUUUGUUUCUGGUAUGGAUGUUACAGAGAGAAAACCGAGCUUCCUGGCAACGCUGUUUAUGGAAAUGGCCUUAGCAGCAGUGUGCACACUCAUGUGAGGUGUGGAGCCUUAGCAGCAGUGUGCACACUCAUGUGAGGUGUGGAGCCUUAGCAGCAGUGUGCACGCUCAUGUGAGGUGUGGAGCCUUAGCAGCAGUGUGCACACUCAUGUGAGGUGUGGAGCCUUAGCAGCAGUGUGCACACUCAUGUGAGGUGUGGAGCCUUAGCAGCAGUGUGCACACUCAUGUGAGGUGUGGAGUCUUUCUGGAUGCAUGCGUGUAGAGGCAGCAGUGAACUGUUAGCACACUUGCUUAAUCUCCACUCUCAGCUAAUCAUGUGAAAUCACUUUUCACUUUCAUUGUGUAGUCCUGUUUGUAGAUGCUGUUAAAUGGCUUUUGUUUUUAUUGUGUAGUGUUUGCACUUAGGGGAGCCAAAACCAGACCAUUAAAUUCAUAAUGAUUUGUGUGCCCAGAGCUUGUUAAUUCUCUGAAAUCACAGUGGUUGUAGUCACCUGAGACCCCGCUCCUCCAGCUGGCCAUGACUGACCUUUCUCCCGUAAACUCUGAUACUCUUCUAUGUGCGCGCCUCGCCCAGCCUGGGUUGCGUUUCAUUUUCCAAGUGUACCUUUCGAAGUAUAAACCGGAUCCUUUCAGCAUCUUGCUUAAAAUUCUUGGACCCACGGCGCGGUGUGGGCCUCUGCCCUGACCCCUGGCACCCCACCCUCUGCCUCUCCCCAGCUGGCCUCCACCUCUGCUGUUUGGAAAAGCUCGGACUUCUAAAAUAUAAACUGGACCCUAUCAACCCCCCGGCGUCUGGCUCUGCGCGAUGAUCCUGGCUCCCUCCACAAAGGGCUUGCUUAGGUGGUGCUCAGGCUGUGUUUACAUGGUUUACCUCCUUCCAGGCAGCAGGUGGCAAUACCAGUCCCUGCUCACCCUCGCUCACCCUCACUUCCCUCCGUCACUCUGCCUCCUCUGGGAAGCCCUCCCUGACCACUGCCUGUGCCCCAGGUCAGGUUGGCAUACUCCACCCUGUGGUUCUGGAACAUUGCUCUGUGCAUGGAGGCAAUACCCUGAUCUGUUUCCUUGCUGGACAACCUAGGGGCAGGGACUGGCACUGUCACGCCUUUCCUGGCCCACAGAAGAUGUCCCGUGCGUGUUGGUGCAGCUGGUGUGCAGUGAUGUGCAGUUUGUGAAGGUGCGGGCUGCUCCUUAGUUGGUCUUCCACGUGUUUGCUCUGUGGUUUGGCAGUGACUUUUCUCAAAGAUCGUGCAGUGUUCUGUUGUCAUUCACUUUAGAAUAAGUAGUAGACAAUGCACGUGUACAUUCAGAUUUGUUGAAUUAACUGAAUUGAGAGAAGUGUUUUAGCACUCACUUCCUUCUGUAGGAGCUGAGUGCUCUCCUUCAAUUCAGAGCUGUUGCAUUGCAAGUAAAAGGCAGCAGUCAAGUGUAUCUAACACACCAGCAGUUCUGUGUGGUAUCUCCAUGCGCAAAGUAAUACUUUGCUCAGUGACAGUUUAAUUAGUUGAGCAUGAUGAAAUUCAUAUUUUCCUCAGUGAUGAGCAGGUUUUGCACAUUAGCUGUCAGCACUCACAAGUUUUUCUUGUGUUAUUGGGCAGAUAUGCUAAGUUAUUAAAAUAUUUGUGGUGUCUCUGUGAGAAUAAGAAGCCUCACGCCACCACGGCUCCCAUCCCUGUAACAGAUUGGAAUUGGCCACUGAGCUUCGGUCUCCACCCACGGUGGCUCACCUCUGUGUUCCUGAACGCUCUCGUACCGAGACAGGAUCUGCUUGCCACUGGCGCAGGGGGCGGCUUUGUCUGCUCUGCCAGCCUCGCAGACGUGCCGUUCCUGCUGCCGCGCCACAGCAGGGCUUGCUCAGCGCGCUCUGGGCAGCAGGGCUGGCACGCAGGCCUUCCCUCUCAUCAGCUUGCCUCUUGAAGGAGACGUCCAUGAUGCCUGCACUCCAGGAAGGGCAUGGUUAGGUCACAGUGACGUGGCCGCUAUUAAGUGGCUGUGGACCCUGUGACAGGGCUGCAAUAGGAAUUAGCAGGAGGGAACACGGCAGUGCUAGGCUGAUGCUGGGGGGUCCUGGUUUCCAUUGCAUUCAGUUAAAUUAAAAAUUUAGAAUUUCCCGAGUCUCCAUUGUAAUAUAUUUAUUUAAGUCAUUCGAUAUCUUUUCUCUGUUAUCUUCGUGUGUUUUCAGAUGUGACGUUAAGCCAUUAAAAGCCACCGUUGUGAAUUAGGAUUAGAGGGCUAAAAAUGAUCACAGCAUAGACCUUAACAGCAGUUUGUAGCCUCCUGUAAUUAUUUUAUACAAAAUCAAAAUCCUGCCGACUGGAUGACGGUGGGUGGUCUAGCCUUUUUAAAUUCAGCUCAGAUUUUCUUUUUAAGGUAAAUUUCCUGUCAUAAGCAGUAGCUUAUGGCACUGUGAUACCAGCAAUUUAUUUACGCUUUCUUAGAUUCUAAAACGCUUUAGAGUUUUUAGUGUUUCUUUCACUUUUGUUAACUGUAUUUAGUUCUGUUCUUGGUGUAGUUUUUGCUUCAUGAUUACUAACCAAACCUCAGCCUUGUGUAGUCAUAUAGGGAUUUUUAGUUUGUCCAAAGUUGACUUAAAUUGAGACCUCACAUAAAGUGAACAACCAAAAUACUUUGAGUAUUAAUCUUCCAAAAUAAUUUCAAUUAACGUCUGUAGUAUUAUCUUUAGAAUUUUCAUCUCCCUAAGCUGAGUUUUGCAAAUCAUAUAGGUGACUGAUUACUUAUUGCUAUAGUGAACAAUAAAUUUAGUUUCCGAUUCUGUAUGUAGUGAUUAAAAAAAAAUCCAGUUGAUUAAUUUCAUGAUUCAAAACAGAUAUCCGUUAAAGCCGUAGCUGUGUUUUUUUAACCCAACAGUUGGAUAUUUAAAUUGUUGUCACCUCUUUAUUUGUGUAUAUGUCAGUAAAGAUUAUUCUGGUUAGUUCUGAGUCACAUAACGGACUGUUCUUAAGAUUUUUUUUUAAAUAAACUUUUUAUUUCAGAAUAGUUUGAAAUUUAGAAAACAAAAACUGUGAAAUUAUACAAAGAGUUUCCAUGUACUCCACACCCAGUUCCCUCUAAUGUUAACAUCUCAUAUUAAUGUUUGUCCCAGCUAAUGACCCACACAGAGUUUCCCUGAUUUUUUUAAAUUCAAAUUCCCUCAACCCCCCGCAGCUCUCCCAGCCGCAAGGAAUUGACAUUCCAUGUUCAGAUUGAGGUUUUCCUUUGAACUCCCAUGUAUGAAGGAAAACAUGCAGUGUUUUUCCUUUUGUGUCUGGCUCAUUUCACAUAACAUCAUGUCUUCCAGUUCCAUGCAGUUUGCUGCAAGUGACAGGACUCCAUUCUUUUCUGUGGCUGAGUAGUAUUCCAGUGUGUGUGUGUCUGAAUCGCGUUUUCUUUACCCAUCCCUCUAGUGAUGGACAGCUUGGUUGGUUCCCAUCUUGGCUGUUGUGAACAAUGCUGCAGUGAACAUGGUGGUAUAGGUGUCUCUUUAAGACGAUGUGUUUUUGUCUUUUAGGCAUAUACCCAGUAGUGGAAUUGUCCGAUCAUAUGGCAGUCUAGUUCUUGAGAAAUCUCUGUACUGUGCUCCAUAGUGGCUGCACUAAUUUACAAUCCCGUCAGUAGAACACAAGAGCUCCCCUCACCCCACUUCUGCCCACAUUCCAUGCUGUCUUUUGGAUGAUAGCCAUCCUGGCAGAGUAUGGUGAUAGCUCAUUGUAGUUUUGACUUGCAUUUCCCCAAUGGCUAGUGAUAUUGAGAUUUCUUUUUUCAUCCAUCUGUUGGCCAUUCUUAUUUCUUCUUUGGAGAACUGUUCAGGUCCUCUGCCCAUGUAUUAACUGAAAGGGUUGCUUUUUGUUAUUUUUUGAGUUUUUGAGUUCUAAAAUAUUCUGGAUAUUAGUCCACUGGCAUAUAUUUUCUCCCGUUCUGUAGCUGUCUCUUUACUUUCUUGAGUAUUUUCUUUGCUGUACAGAAGCUUCUGAGUUCAGUAUAGCCCCGUUGCUUUUGUGUUGUCUGUGCUUUUGGGGUUCUGUCCAAGGAAUCAUUGCCUACACCAGUGUCUGGAAUGCCUCUCCUGUUUUCUUCCAGCAAUUUCAUAGUCUCGGGUCUUACACGGAGGUCUUUGAUCCAUCUGGAGUUGACUUUUAUAUGUGAUGUGAGGUAGGGAUCUGGUUUCCUUCUGCUACAUGUACACAUCAGGAUUCCCCAGUAGCAUUUAUGGAGAAGGCUGCCCUUGCUCCAAAUGGAUGUUCCUAGCACCUUGGUCAAAAGUCAGUUGGCUGUAGGCAUGUGAAUUAAUGUCUGUACCCUUCUGUACUGUUGGUCUUUGUGUUGGUUUUUAUGCCAGUACCAAGAUGUUCCAAUGACUACAGCUAUGUAAUGUGCUUUGGAAUCAGACAUUGUAAUGCCCCCAGCUUGGUUUUUAUUUUGGGGGAAGGGGAGCUCAGGUUUGUGUUGGUUAUUCUGGGUCUUUUGUGGUUGUAUGUGAAUUUUAGGAUUUUGUUUUGUAAUUAUGUAAGUAAUGUUGGUACUUUGUUAGGGUUUACAUUUCCUUUGUAGAUUAAUUUUAACUAUAUUUAUUCUCCCUGUCCAUGAAUAGGGAAUAUCUUUUCCAAUUUUGUAUGUCUCCUUGAAAUUAGAGAAGGAAAAAAAUGAAGGGCUUCAAAACUUGAAAGGAGGAAAUCAAAACAUCUAUGUUUUCAGAUAACCUGAUUGUGUUCAUGGGAAAACCUGCACACUGCACCAGGCUGUUAGAACUUGAAAACCAGUUCAGUAAAGUCACAGGAUACAAAGUCAAUAUAGCAAAAACAGUAGCAUUUUUAUGCAUCAACAGUGAUCUUGCUGAAAGAGAAAUCAAGAAAGAAAUCCCAUUCACAAUAGUUAAAAAAAUUUAAAUAUUUAGGAAUAAAUUUAACUAAGGACAUAAAAGAUCUUUGUUUUGAAAAUCAUAAAACAUUGAUGAAAAAGUUAUCAAGGACAUAAUCAAAAUGGUCUUCGGGUUCUAGUUACUCUAUUAUCCAUGGUUAUCAAGAGCUCUAUUUGUACCUUAUAAAUUUUAACUGAGUUAAUAAUAUUGUUGAUCUUAUUUGCAAAUGCAACAUAAAAGUUCACACCUUUAAAACAUGCUAACUUUGAAAAAUAUCCUUCUUUAAGUUUUCUCCUAAAUCUUGGUUUUAACUAUUUUUCUUUUCUUACCCAAAAGCCAAUUAAGUUUAAUCUGUACACAUUCCUUAAAGGUAUUUAGAAAUGAAUUUCAAGUUGACAGUUUUUAUAAAAUACAGCUUUUGGUAUUUAAUUCAAAUGUUUACACAUUAUUGUAGCAAUUGGAAUUAUAACAGGAAGGAGGAAGACAGCUGUGUAAUUCUCAGCUGAAACGUGUAGUACCUUCCUGGGAAUAGCUCCACAGUUGCUUCUUAUGGCCCGUCAGGGGUGUCAGCCCGCAGGCAGCGCCGCCCAGUGUGAUGAGUGAGUAGAGCUGUCAGCUGUCCAGCGUGCAGGCAGCGCGCUGGGCAGCCCAGUCAACCCAGUUGAAGAGAAGAAAAUGCAUGCCUGAUGCUGGAGGCACAGGCACACGCAAGCUCUUCCUAAACCUGUGUUUGUUUUAUGUAAGAGAACUUUAGUUUUCAGGUCUCUCUCUGCCUUUCAGAAUCUGUCUUGCAGAUAUGUUUGCUAUAUUCGGUAAGAAAUAUUGCAGAGUUAGGUUAUCUCCUGUUUCUUAUAACUCAGAUAAUUAAAAGUUCAGGCCCAGUUUAGAAGUUCUAGAGAAUAAGAAAGGUCCUAGAAGAAUAAAGAUAAAGGAAAAAGUUGUAUUUUAAUUUGAUUUUUCAAAAAUUGAAAAACAGAGAAGUUUGAUGUUGCACUCUGAGAAAAUGGAUCAUUAAGAUAUUUGUGGGCCUUUGUAAAAUAGUUAGCUAUACAUUAUAUGUAGGCAUGCAUAAUGUCAUGCUAUAUAUAUAUUAAUACAUAGCAUGCUAAUAUAAACAUUAGAUGUAUACAUGAAUUUAUAUAUGUAUGUAUAUAUUAUAUACAUUAUAUGCAGGCAUGCAUAUAUAUUGUGUUCUAUAUAUAUUAGUAUGUAACAUGCUAAUAUAAACAGUAGCUGCAUGUAUGAGUUUAUAUGCACAUGUAUUAUAUACAUUAUAUGCAGGCAUGCACAUAUAUUGUGUUAUAUAUAUAUUAGUAUGUAACAUGCCAAUAUGAACAGUAGAUGUGCAUGAGUCUAUAUUUGCAUGUAUGUAUUAUUAUAUAAACACUUUACGAAUCUGUUACUGUAUAUGCAUAGUAAUGUCAUUAGCAUUUAUUGCCUGUAUAUCAUCUGCUGGGAAGAGGGCUUUACCUUUGAUUGCCUGACUUAACCUUCAGAACAGCACCUGGAGAAGUAAUAUCAUUAUCUGACUUUAUGGAGGAAGCAUGAAGAGGGUUAGUGAUUUGCCCAAGAUCAUCUAGCUAGGACAUAGUGGAGCUGGGGUUCAGGAUUCAAGUCCAGGCAGCCCUACUCUAGGCACUUGUUGUAAUGCUAGACAAAGAGCUAGUACCCUCUAUUAAGCAUCUAUUAAGGAAAAAGGCAGAUACUCUGAUAGAAAAAUAGGCAAAAGUCAUGAAAUUCACAGAAGAAUUAAAAAGUCAGUGAACAUGAAAAAGAUACUAAAGUUCAUGAUUUCUCAAUGCGAAGUAAAGUGGCAUUCAGAUACCAUUUUAUAAAAUACUCUCCAGGUUCACAAAUACUGAACACCUGCUUUCUUGAAAAGGUACAGAGAAGCCAACUGUCCCCACAUCUUCCUAGAAAUGUAAACUGGCCCAUCUGUAUGACACACAUAGAUAUGUUUGCAUGUAAAUGCAUGCAUAUUCAAAAUUUCUUGCAUAUAUAAAAAUUUCAUGGAAAAUGGAAUUAAAAGAUAAAUUGCUUUUGGUGCAAACAUUUUUGAAACCAUGCAUGCCUCUUAUGUAUUAGGUGCUUCAAGAAGGUCGUGGGAAAACGGAAUUCAAAGGCAGUGUGCAUUUUCCACAAACUUUUUGAAGCACCCUCGUAUAUGUGUGUCGUUUACUUAGAAAUUCUAACAGUUUAUCUUAAGGAAAGUAUCAGACAAAUAAGUAAAGAAAUCAAAGCCAUAUUUGUGCAAUGGAGUACUACUGCAUUAAGACCAAGUAGGGCUUAUUUUAGGCAAGCCUGUUCAGUGCAACAUUUGAAAAUUAAUCAAUAAUUCAGUAGCCUGAGCAAAGACAUGUCAUCAUCUCGGGAGAUGUAAAGAACACUUAACAAAAUGCAACAACAUUCAUGAUUUAAAAAAAGCCUUCAGCCUAUUGGAAAUAGAAGAAUACUCCAGAGUCUGAAAAGGUUCUACAAAGAUUCUGUAGCUUGUAGCAGACUCUGCUGAAGUCUGGAAGGUUCUCCUGCAGGAUCAGAAAAGCAGCAGGGAUGCCUUUGCCACCGCUGCCACUCAGUGUUGUACUCGGAUCCCACUCUUGUCACACCGCAAGAAAAGGAAGGAAGACUGGGACAAACAAAAGAAAGUGUUUGUUGUAAGAAAUGAAAUAACAUUGUAAGGAAUCUACAAAAAUUAUCGUAAGUGGAUUGAAGAUCCUAGGUUACAGAAUCAAGAUACGUAGCAGGGGCUGGUGCAGUGAGUCCAGCUGCUCUUGCGAUGCCAGCAAACCAUCCGGGACGACCAGCUGGAGCCCUGGCUGCUCCCUGCUGAUGCACCCAGGAAGGCAGUGGAGGAUGGGGGAAGGCCUUGAGGCCUUGCCGUUACAUGGGAGACUAGGAUGGAGUUGCUGGCUCCUGACAUCAGCCUGGCCAGCCCCGGCUGUUGCAGUCAUUUGUGGGGGUGAACCAGCAAAUGGAAGUUCUCUCUGCCUUUCAAAUAAGUAAAUAAACCUUAAAACUUUUUAUAGCAAAAAAAUGGAAAAUUAAUAAAUUUCAUUUUAAAUAGCAUCAAAAUAUAAAAAACAUUAAAGUAAGCAAACAAAGAAAACACAUGUGAAGACCUCUUCCAAAAGCUGGAAAUCACUGCUGACUCAGUGCCUCGGCAGCCAGGUUUCCAGCAGGCGUUUUUGGGGUUUUUUUGGGGGGUGGAAACUACAGGACUAUUCUAAAGUUUAUUUGGGAAAGUGAAGGACCUUGAAUACCGGCAACCAAUCUUGAAGAAGAACUGCAAAGCUGGCCUACUCACAUGUCUUGAUUCAAAGACUUCUCAAGCCACCGUACUAAAGAUAGCGUAGUAUUAGUGCAAGGACAGAUAAAGACAUCAGUGAAACAGAAUGGACCCGUUCCUGUGGAGAGUUAAUUUUUGACAAAAGCAGCAAGACGUGCAUGGUGAGAGGGAGUCUCCUCAACAGGUGGUAGCGACAAGAGGGUGCCUGUGAGCCAGCCUCCCACAGACAGCACCCCGUAGCAGCCGCAAGGAAAGGCCUGCAAGAUCUGCGGCAUCCUUCGUCCCUGGAGAGGAGCGGGUGAACCUCAGCCAGACGCUCCUCGGUCCCACUGGAGUCGCUGCGUCUGAAGAGUCCGUGGACGCUACGCGCUGGCAAAGGUGGUGGAGCAGUGGGGACGCCCACAUGGUGCAGGUGAGCCUGUGGAGUGGCACAGCCGCCUGGGGAGCAGUCCCUGACCGAGUGAGACGUACCUCUCCCGGGUGACCCAUCGCGCCUAGGCAUUCUCCGCUCCACCAAAAACAGAAGUGCACAGUGUGGCCCUCAUAGCUUUAUUGCUAACAGCCAAAAACUGGAAAUAGCUGAAACACCCAUCAGGAAGAGGAUGUAUCCAACUAUGUGUUCAAACAGUAUCCGUAGGGGGUACUUCAGAAAGUUCAUGCGAGUGCAGUUAAAAGAUACGUUUAUUCUGGUACAAGAUAUUCUGAGGGGCGAGUGUUCAGCACAGUGGUCAAGCUCCCACUUGGGACAGCUGCAUCCCAUGUUCAAGUCUCGGCUGCUCCGCUCCUGAUCCAGCUUUCUGCUAAUGUGCACCCUGGGAGGCAGCAGGUAAAGGCUGCUUGGGUCUCUGUCGUCUACAUGGGAGACCCAGAUUGAGUUCUGAGCUCCUGGCUUCAACUCGGCUCAUCCCUGGUAGUUGUGGACAUUUGGGGAGUGAGCCAGCAAAUGGAAGCUGUCUCUCUGCCUUCAAUACACAUAGACACACACAUAAAUAAAGUUUGAAAUACAUGUGUGGUUUUUAAUUUUUUUCUAUUUUAAAUUUAAACUUUUUUUAAGAUUUUUUAUUUAUGUAUUUGACAGGUAGAGUCACAGACAGUGAGAGAGAGAGAGAGAGAAAGAGAGAGAGAAAGGUCCUCCAUCUGAUGGUUCACCCCCCAAAAUGGCCGCAACUGCCGGAACUAUGCUGAUCCAAAGCCAGGAGCCAGGUACCUCCUCCCAGCCUCCCACACAGGUGCAGGGGACAAACACUUGGGCCAUCCUCCACUGCCUUCCCAGGCCACAGUAGAGAGCUGGACCGGAAGAGGAGCAACCAGGACUAGAACCCAGUGCCCAUAUGGGAUGCCGGCGCCACAGGCAGAGGAUUAGCCUAGUGCGCCAUGGCGCUGGCCCCUUAAAUUUAAACUUUUAUGUGAGGGGCCCAGCUCUAUGGUGUAGUGGGUAGAGCCACUGCCUGCAGCCCUGGCAUUCCAUAUGGGCUCUGGUUCAAGUCCCAGCCGUUCCACUUCUGAUCCACCUCCCUGCUAAUGCACCUGAAAAAGCAGCAGAACAUGACCCAAGUCCCUGGACCCCUGUGCCCACGUGGGAACCUGAACGGAGUCAGAUAUCUGACUCCUAGCUUCACCCUGGCCCAGCCCCAGCCAUUGCGGCCUUGGGGAGUGAACAAGUGAGUGGAGGACCUCUCUCUCUCUCUCUCUCUCUCUCUCUGCCUCUGCCUCUGCCUCUGCCUCUCCUUCUCUGUAACUCUGCCUUUCAAAUAAAAAUAAGUCAUUUAAAAAUUUUUUUUUGAGAAACAGAGACCUUCCAUCUGCUGGCUCACUCCCCCACAUGCCCACAACUGCCAAGACUGAGCCAAGCUGACGCCAGGAGCUCGGAACCCAAUCCAGGUCUCCUGCGUGAGUGGCAAGAACCCAGCUCCUCAGUCAGCAUCUGCUGCCUUCAGGUGUGCAUUGGCAGGAGGCUGGAUGGGACCCGGAGCAGGUACUCGAUGUGGGAUGCUGGUGUCCCGGGCAGCAGCCAAGAACAGUGCCAAGUGCCUGCCCAUAUCUUUUUAAUAAUAUGUAUUUUCAGCCAGCGCUGCGGCUCACUAGGCUAAUCCUCCACCUGCAGCGCCGGCACCCCGGGUUCUAGUCCUGGUUGGGGCACCAGAUUCUGUCCCGGUUGUUCCUCUUCCUGUCCAGCUCUCUACUGUGGCCCAGGAAGGCAGUGAAGGAUGGCCCAGGUGCUUGGGCCCUGCACCCACAUGGGAGACCAAGAGGAAGCACCUGGCUCCUGGCCUCAGAUCGGUACUGUGCCGGCCGCAGUGGCCAUUUAGGGGGUGAACCAAUGGAAGGAAGACCUUUCUCUCUGUCUCUCUCUCUCUCACUGUCUAAAUCUACCUGUCAAAAAAAAAUAAUAUGUAUUUUCACAAACUUUUUGAAGAUCCUUUGUAUGCAUGGAUUUCAGAAUUUUUUACACUGGAAUAAGCUUAUCUUUUAAAUCCAUUUUCCAAAAGCUUUUUGAAAUAUCCUGGUACAGUGGUACACUACUCUUGUUGUUGAUACCUAGUGAUGUGGAUGGAUCCCAAAAAUGCCAUGGUGGGACUGGCUGAGAGGAGGCAGGAGAGAGCUAAGGGGUGAUGGGUGUAGGGACGAGAGGAGGAAGGAGGCCUAGGUUAAUGAGAGCUCCCGCGUGAACUCCGCAGCUCCAGGUCGCCUGCAAGGCUCCUGUGGGUGUCUGUCCUGGGGCUACUCAGAGUAGUCCUGGAACUGAAGGCACAGCUUGGAAAUAUGGCGCCCGUUCCUGCGUGUGUGGAUCAUCACGUCUGAAUGCAAGACCAGGCGUGUGAGAACGUGUUUAUCAGGACAGACCGAGGGCAGAUACCGGUGUUGAAAUGGCUGCAGUGUUUGAAAGAAGUAGACCCACAUCUCUGCAGGGUGCAGACUUCUGCAGUCAGACCAGUCACAGUGCAAGCCUUCAAGCCGUGGUCGGAGGGAAUGGCACAGUGGCACGGUAGCUAAGCCGCUCCCUGCUCGGGACAUCUGCACUGGGGUUAAGUCCAGUUACUCUGCUUCCAAUGCAGCUGCCUGCUAACGCAUCCUAGGAGGUGGCAGGCGAAGGCGCCAAGCGCCUGGGCCUCUGCCACCACAGGGGAAGACCCGGAUGGAGUUCCCGUCCCGUGGCUUCAGCCUGGCCCAGCUCUGGCUAUGGUGGGCAUCUGGGAAGAGAAUCAGCAGAUGGCAGACUGACCUCUCUCUCUGUCUCUCUCUCUCUGGCUUUGAAGUAGAUGUGGAUAGAUUGGAUGAUAAAUUGAUUGAUUGAUUGAUUGAUCACUUUCACAUCAGUGCACACAUACCUUGCUCUGAGGCACUCUUGCCUGAUCCGAGUGGACCUCCAAAGAAUUGCACACCCCAAGAUCUGCUGCUUCCAGCUGGAGAUGGUCUAGCCUGGCAUCCGAUGGUAAUGCCUUGAAGAACAAGGAGCAUUUGGUAAAUAUCCCCAAGUUAAGACGGGGGUGCAUUCCAGGACCCCAGAGCUGUCCCAGAAACCCGUGCUUUAAGGGAAGUGAUUACCGUGGGACGUAAGAGGCACAGGCAGGGUCUGAUGGUUCUCCCAGAGGCCCAGCAGGAGGUGAACUUGUGCAGAGAGAGGAGGGACAAAGUGCAAUUUCACUUAGGAAAAAUGCGAGUUCAUAGCAACACAUUUAAAAUAGCAGGAUGUGUUUGCAACUUGGAAAACUGUCAGGUCAGCAUUUCUCCACUUCAUUCACUGCUGUGUUAACUGCGCUUCACCAGAAGAAAUAAUUGAAUUUAAAAUUAAGCAUGGAGAGUCGCUGUCCAGAGUGGAGGCUGAGUCUUCUAUUUGGUGGGAAAUUAAAGGGGAACACCCGUUAGUUCUGUUCAGUUACCGCAGCGUACUGCACUGUUCAGUUAUGGACAUUAGAGGCAUCGCCGGCUGCUGUGACUCUGGCUUUCCCUUGACCCCUAACGCCCGAGACGUGCCCGGCUGGGCUCGCUGGUCAGGCACAGGACAGCUGCCCUGGUUGCGCGGGUGGGAGCCACACGGGCUCCCUCGAGCUGACAGAGACUGGCAGCCGCUCCCAGGCACUAGAACGUCCUCGUGAAUGCCCAAAUACUGGUAAGAAAUUUUUCUGUCCACUGAACAUAGAUUUUUUUAUGCUUUUACUCUUCUAUCCAUAAAUUCAUAGGCAACGCUCUUCUCUGUUAAUGUUUAACUUAAUUAAAUGUCAAGCACUCUUUCUUUUAGCUACUUUUUAAUUGUGGUUAAAAUAUUUAGAUAAACUUUUACUGCAGUAAUAAUACUGUUUUUAGGCUACAAAUUCAAGGGAAAAUGGAUAGUUUUUCAUUCUGUGUAGCACAUUAUUUAAAUGUAGGAAAAUACAUUUCAUUAACAUCAGCAGUGUCACCAACAGAAUUUUAUUUCAUUAUUUCUCAAAACAUUACAAGAAAUACUUUUAAAUUUUUAGAAUUACUUUUAUUUGUUUGGAAGGCAGAGAUACACAGAGAGACAGAGCUCUUCUGUCUGCUGGUUCACUCCCCAGAUGUCUGCAGCAGCCAAGGCUGGGCCAGGCCAGAGGCAGCAACCGGAACUCCAUCCAGGUCUCCCGCAUGGGCAGCAGAGGCCCAAGUACCUGCUCCCUCCCAGGCUGCACAAUAGCAGGAAGUUAGAACGGAGACCGGACCUGGGACUUGGAGCGGGCACUCCCGCGUGGGAUCCCGGUGUUCUAAGCAGUGCCUACCCACUCCACCAACAAUCUUUGAAAGACCUAACUGUACUGUACAGACUCACUGAAGAAAGCUAUGCACUCAUGGCCCCGUUUGCACUUAGUCCAAGUUGAGUUCACAGGACUGGUCUAAGUGGUUGCAGUACGGCUUGCUGCCUGGUGGUUUAUCCCAGCCCAUUCGUACUGCUGUCACACGAGCCGCACACUGGGUAAUUUAUAAAGAACAGAAAUGUGUCUCCUCACCAUUCUGGAGACAGAAGUCCCAGAUCAAGGUGCCGGCUGGCUCUGCAUCGGGUGAGGGCCUCGGGGCUGGCUCUCUGGAGUGAUGGAAUUCUGUGCCUUCCUGUGCGGGAAGGCGGAAGGGCAGGCAAAGCCAGCCACGCGGUGUGUGAGCCUUUGGGCAGAGCCCUCGAGACUCCCUCGCCUCCGAGGGCCCCCUCUUCUAACCUCCACGACAGGGACUGAGUUUCAGCACGAACUUUGGAAGGACCACAUUCAAUCCACAGCCUCCUUACGGGGCACCAUGCUUGGUGUGUCCAGUGUUGCGGUGGAAUGAGAACACGCCUCAGAUCUCUGGGGGUGGACACCAGUGCGUGACCAACAGGCCCCUUCUCUGCCCUGGUCUCAGACCAGUUGGAGGGAGACAGAACCAGCAGGUGACAAAGCGGAUGCAGAGGCGAAUGAUCCGAUGGAAGGGCCUCCAGCCUAGACCCUGAGGCAGGCCUCGCCGGGGAGGGCUGACACUGCAGAACAGACUAUUGACCCAGGGCGAGAGCAGUGGAAGAGAGUUUAAUAAAACACUGGGGAAAAUCCUACUCGGGGAACCCAGACAAGUGAGAGAAACCAAUCUGCUUCUUUAGAGCUCAAAUGAAUUAAAAACCAUCACAUUUCUUUUUCUUUAAAAAAGAUUUUAUUUUUGUUUUUUUCGAAAAGCAGAGUUACCCAGAGAGAGGGGGAGACAGAAAGAGAGAGGGGAACGGUGGAAGCGCUAACUUCCAUCUGCUGGCUCACUCCCCAGAUGGCUGCAACUGCCAGGUCUGUGCAGGCUGAAGUCGGGAGCCUGGAGCUUCCUCCGGGUCUCCCACAUGGUGCAGGGGCCCAGGUACUCAGGCCAUCUUCUGCUUUCCCAGGUGUGCUAGCAGGGUGCUGGAUCAGAAGUGGAGAAGCCGGCUCAAACUGGUGCCCAUAUGGGAUGCCAGCAUUACAGGUGGCAGCUUCAUCCACUGUGCCACAGCACCAGCCCCCAAACCAGCAUAUUUCAAAUCGUGACUCCAUUUCCAGGGUGGAUGGAGGGAUAAAGGCCUUUUCCUUUCCAAAUAACAUUAAGAUAAGCUGAUAUCACAAUUAGUGGUAUCUACAUUGCCAUGUUAAUUCCAAUUAAUGAUAUGAGUAUAAUAAAGUAUGCGCAUCCGGCAAGAGGUAGCUAGCUCUGGGUAUCCAGGCAAAAUAUAGGAGCUGAUAGCAACAAAUAAAACUAUAGUGUCCCAUUAAUGCUCAAGAAAAGCUGGGGGUGAGCCUCUGGUGCAGCAGGCAAGUCACUUGGGACUGCUCCAGCUUCCUGCUGAUGGCAGGUGGUGGCUCGAGUACGUGGGCCGCUGUCACCCUCACAGGGCCCUCAGUUCCUGCAGUCUCCAGCGCGGGUGUGGCCUGGGUCAGCCUCUGCUAUUGCAGGGUGUUUAGGGAGUGAGCCAAUGGAGGGGAGAUUCUCCUCCCUCUCUGCCUUUCAAAUAAAAUGAAAAUAAUUUUCAGAGAGCUAGAUUAUUUCCGCAUCAGUUAUUGUUACUGUUAGUUACAGCAGUCAGCUGUAGAGACAGUUCAUAGAACUGCACCUGGCCUCCGCCCUGGUUUUCCCUCCACGGCCAGCUCUUGGUGUCUGGUGAUGGAGCCCAGCACCAGCACCGCCCUGCUUUCCUGCCCCCGUCCUCUCCCCCUGCCGCUCUCCCUGCAGUGCGUGCCGUCCGUCCUGCCAGCACCAUGGGAAGAGCUGCCUGCACCUGCUUCCAGACCCCACCCUGCACUCCCUCGUGUUUCUCUAGUCCCUGGACUUCUUCCUUUUUGUAGCCUUCUGCUCAUCAGCAGAUCUUGAAAACACCCUCGCUUCAGCCCACAGGCUGCUCCCAGGCUGCUGGACACCCCGAAGUAGGCUUCUCAGGGGAGUUGCCUGUGCCUUGCUGAAAUUGCUGUCCCAGCAUCAGUCAGCCGCCAGCACAGGCCCUGUGGCCCGUUCCUGGGACAUGCUCCCCUCCUGCCCUGGCCCCUGGCGCUCAGUGCCUUCCUGGGCUGCUAGUGUGUCCCUGAGUCCUUCUUGUUGACCAAGUCCCAGGCCUUGGCAGCUCCUGGCCGCUGCACACCCUCGCUGGGCUCAUUCUCCUGCAUCCCAUACUCUUAUUCCCCAAAGCCACCCCUCUCCUCCCUGCCUUCAGGCAGCGUCUCCCCUUUGUGUUGCUAGCCUUGGUGCCGCUGCGUCUGUCCUCCCAGCCCAGCUCUCUGCACUGCCCGACACGCAUGGUCGGCCAUCAGAGGCUACAGACAGCGUUGCUAAAGAACGCUGAUCCAUCAGGCACCAGGACUUCUUCCCUCGUCUGAUCUCUCCCUCUGCAUCUCACCCCGCUCAGAUUCAGGCCCUGCCUCUCCUCAGAAUCCUUCCGUGGUCCCCCUGGGUCCCGAGGGGAGAAGACGGCUGUGAUACUGCUCAGAGCUGACCCGCACGGCUCACCGGGCCUGGUCUCCAGCCCCGGCACCUUGCACUGUAGUCAGUCGUCCACUGGGCGCCGUGAUGGUCCUGGCACGUGGCGUUCCCCUCCCAUGCUGCCUGCCUCCCCUGCCUUUCCCUGCCGCCCACCUCAGCCCGUGGGAGCCUGGCGCUGUGAGCCUUCGCUCACGGUGUCUGCUGUGUGCCGCCCGCUGGCUGUCGUGCCUGCACUGUGCACUCUCCCCACAUUGGUGCUCCUCCGUAUCCACGCCCACCGAGGGAACUGGCUCAGAGGAAGCAUUUGGCAAAAGACUUAUUCAGUAAUUACUUGCUUGGUUUUAAUGAGAGACACCUUGGUGAGGAUUACUCUUAAGGAAGAUAGCAUUAAUUAAAAUACCAGCUUACAGUACCGUGGGUUUUUUUUUUUUUUUUGUACUAUCUGUUUAUUUUAGAGGUAGUGGGGUGGGGAGGGGGCAAGCAAGCCAGCUCCCAUCCGCUGAUUCACCCC